AAAUCUAUCAAUGACAAUGAAGAAAUAUUAACUUCUGUGACUUCUGAUUUGCCUCACUUCUCCGAGACUGCAGCUCAAGAUGACCAGGGGAAUGAUGCCUGUGUGACUUCUGGUUCACCUCCUGUCCCUGACUCAGUUACUAAAGGUUUACGUGUUUCAUCAAGGCGGUGUGUGAAGAGACCAUGGUCUGAGGAGGAGAUAGGAGCGGUGAUGAAACAUAUGAAGCCUUUUAUUGAAAACGGUAUCACUGUCACCAACCAGCAGUGUCUGAAGUGCAAAGAAAAGGAACAACCUAUCUUGGAGACGAGAUCUAUUCAAAACAUUCGAGAUUUUGUGCGCAACAGAGGA